AAUGUUCACACUGAGUCCUUGCAGGUGUGACUGCUGUGUCACAUGUGUAGCAGUAGGUGGCAGAGAGGAGAGAGGCUAUACCUAUACUUAGUGUUAUGACCAAUAAAUAUAUGAAUGAUUAGUAACCUAACAUU